rnacentral:rRNA from 1 species
UACAGCGGACACAGGUGGUGCAUGGUUGUCGUCAGCUCGUGUCGUGAGAUGUUGGUUAAGUCCCGCAACGAGCGCAACCCUUGUCUUCAGUUACCAUCAUUCAGUUGGGGACUCUGGAGAGACUGCCGGUGACAAACCGGAGGAAGGUGGGGAUGACGUCAAAUCAUCAUGCCCCUUAUGACCUGGGCUACACACGUACUACAAUGGCGUAUACAACGGGAAGCGAAAUGGUGACAUGGAGCAAAUCUCACAAAGUACGUCUCAGUUCGGAUUGAAGUCUGCAACUCGACUUCAUGAAGUCGGAAUCGCUAGUAAUCGCGGAUCAGCAUGCCGCGGUGAAUACGUUCUCGGGCCUU